GGCGCGUUCGUCUAGUGGCUUAGGACGCCGCCCUCUCAAGGCGGAGACCACCGGUUCGAAUCCGGUACGCGCUA
rnacentral:tRNA from 7 species